rnacentral:rRNA from 1 species
UACGUAGGGUGCAAGCGUUGUCCGGAAUUAUUGGGCGUAAAGAGCUCGUAGGCGGUUCGUCGCGUCGGCUGUGAAAACCCGGAGCUCAACUCCGGGCCUGCAGUCGAUACGGGCGGACUGGAGUGUUGCAGGGGAGACUGGAAUUCCUGGUGUAGCGGUGAAAUGCGUAGAGCUCGGGAAGAACAUCGGUGGCGAAAGCGCUCUACUGGACUGCAACUGACACUCAGGGACGAAAGCUAGGGGAGCGAAUGGG